GAUGAACGCUGGCGGCGUGCCUAAUACAUGCAAGUCGAGCGAACGGACGAGAAGCUUGCUUUUCUGAUGUUAGCGGCGGACGGGUGAGUAACACGUGGAUAACCUACCUAUAAGACUGGGAUAACUUCGUGAAACCGGAGCUAAUACCGGAUAAUAUUUUGAACCGCAUGGUUCAAAAGUGAAAGACGGUCUUGCUGUCACUUAUAGAUGGAUCCGCGCUGCAUUAGCUAGUUGGUAAGGUAACGGCUUACCAAGGCAACGAUGCAUAGCCGACCUGAGAGGGUGAUCGGCCACACUGGAACUGAGACACGGUCCAGACUCCUACGGGAGGCAGCAGUAGGGAAUCUUCCGCAAUGGGCGAAAGCCUGACGGAGCAACGCCGCGUGAGUGAUGAAGGUCUUCGGAUCGUAAAACUCUGUUAUUAGGGAAGAACAUAUGUGUAAGUAACUGUGCACAUCUUGACGGUACCCAAUCAGAAAGCAACGGCUAACUACGUG
rnacentral:rRNA from 1 species